rnacentral:rRNA from 1 species
GAUGAACGCUGGCGGCGUGCUUAACACAUGCAAGUCGAACGGUGAAGGCGGAGCUUGCUCUGCUGGAUCAGUGGCGAACGGGUGAGUAACACGUGAGCAAUCUGCCCCUGACUCUGGGAUAAGCGCUGGAAACGGCGUCUAAUAAUGGAUACGAGCUGCGCAGGCAUCUUCAGCAGAUGGAAAGAAUUUCGGUCAGGGAUGAGCUCGCGGCCUAUCAGCUUGUUGGUGAGGUAAUGGCUCACCAAGGCGUCGACGGGUAGCCGGCCUGAGAGGGUGACCGGCCAAACGGGGACUGAGUGACGGCCCAGACCCCUACGGGAGGCAGCGGUGGGGAAUAUUGCACAAUGGGCGAAGGCCUGAUGCAGCAACGCCGCGGGAGGGACGACGGCCUUCGGGUUGUAAACCUCUUUUGGCAGGGAAGAAGCGAAAGUGACGGUACCUGCAGAAAAAGCGCCGGCUAACUACGUG